rnacentral:rRNA from 1 species
UACAGAGGUCUCAAGCGUUGUUCGGAUUCAUUGGGCGUAAAGGGUGCGUAGGUGGCGAGGUUAGUCAGGUGUGAAAUCUCGGGGCUCAACCCCGAAACUGCACUUGAUACUGCCUUGCUAGAGUACUGGAGAGGAGAUUGGAAUUUAUGGUGUAGCAGUGAAAUGCGUAGAUAUCGUAAGGAAGACCAGUGGCGAAGGCGAAUCUCUGGACAGUUACUGACACUGAGGCACGAAGGCCAGGGGAGCAAACGGG